rnacentral:misc_RNA from 1 species
GAUGAAGAACGUAGCGAAAUGCGAUAAGUAGUGUGAAUUGCAGAAUUCAGUGAAUCAUCGAAUCUUUGAACGCACAUUGCACCCCUUGGUAUCCCGAGGGGCAUGCCUGUUCGAGCGUCAUUUCACCACUCAAGCCUGGCUUGGUGUUGGGCGACGUCCUCUUUGGGGACGCGCCUCGAAACGCUCGGCGGCGUGGCACCGGCUUUAAGCGUAGCAGAAUCUUUCGCUUUGGAAGUCGGGGCCCCGUCUGCCGGAAGACCUGCUCGCAAGGUUGACCUCGGAUCAGGCAGGGAUACCCGCUGAACUUAAGCAUAUCAAUAAGCGGAGGA